rnacentral:lncRNA from 1 species
CUUGUUUAUACAUAAAUAGGUAACAUUUAUAAUUACAUUUAAAAGGCAUGAUGCAUAUUGCACGAUAAGCUUUGAAAGGCACGCACAAAGAAAGACAGCUCAACGGAGUUGAGACUUCCGUCCGUUCUAUCUUGAAUCUUGAUCUUCUCUUGGCAACUUGACCAUUAAACAACCCACAGUUUCUAUGUGAAAGAUUAAACAUCAACGUAGCAUAGCAUCUGAAGAGAAAUUUGACGGAGGCUCAGAGAAAAUAUAGAUUAUAACCUAUCACAUUCACGUCCAAUCAAAUACCAAAACAAUCAAGAAAACAAGUACAAUAUAUUACAACUAUAACAAAUUACAUAUCUUUAAAAUCCUACGGUAGUCAGUUUAAGCCGUACAUGAUACAAUUGCUGUGAUAUAUAUGAAAGAAACAAGUUCGCAUAUAGUAUGUGAAGUUAAGAAGCUCAACCAGUGUUGUAAGAAUAAUCAUAUAAACUUGCAACUAGCCAACUAUAUGUCUUCGCAACUAUAUAUCUUCAGAAUAUGCACUGGAUAUGUGUCAAUCUAAUUUGCAAAUAUUAUUACACUUAAAAACUGCUAAUUAAUAACCAAAAUUAACCAAUUGAACCAACUGGAAAAUUAAGGCAAUCAACUCUUUAGAUCACGCCAUGUUUUGGACGCCCACCUAAAACAAAGGAGUUGUUUGACUGGUAGUUGGCUCAGUCUUUCGCCGAUUGGGUCAACAUGGGAACAUCAUCCAUUAUGUUCUCAGAUCUACUCUAGGGUUUGAGGGAUAAUUAAAUCGAAAUAAGUAGUUAGAGUUUAGUUGACCUAGGAUGAAAUCUACUAAUGAAAACUACCUUUCACUAGUCACAACCACAAAGUACACAAAAAUUUUGCACUUACAACAAUUACAAUAUGCGUCAAACAGAUCUCUCUUUGUCGCCAAGCACAGACUUGUGCUCAUCAUCACUCUCCAAAAUUAGGCGGGAUCCGCUGGAUAUACAGCCAAUCUCAUCAUCCGUGCAAGCUGUUGACCAUCAAAAUCAAUCAUGAUGUUCCACCACAUUUAUCCAGCAACGAGGACAUAGACAUAAUAAUAAUUACAUCAAGCCUCCACUCAACGGAAGGGUCAUGAUUCAAAAACAAGUGAGACUUUUGUUUAGCUUUGGUUUGGUUGGAAUUAGGUAACCAAACCAAUUGCAGUGGCAGUGGGUAGAGUCGGGGACAACAAUUGGCGUGACCUGGGAUUGCGAUUGGAUAAUGUCACCAUAUAACAUACAGCAUAAUUGUGUUGUAUGGAUGCACAAGCACAAAUGUGGUAACAACUUCAAUACCUGUCAGUUAAUCUUGACAUCAAAAACCUUUUUUUAAUCACAAACCUCACACAAGAAAACCUAAUAGCAAAUCUAUCAAUUCUUCAAUUGGAACUUCUAUCUGGAAAAUAAGAUGGAAUAAUAAACAGAAGAAUGAAUUGAACAAAGGGGGGCAAAGUCAACACCAUGAACUAUUUAUAAUUUAAACUUUUUGUCUUCUUUUCUUGUUGAAAAAGGG